GAUGAACGCUGGCGGCGUGCUUAACACAUGCAAGUCGAACGAUGAAGCCCAGCUUGCUGGGUGGAUUAGUGGCGAACGGGUGAGUAACACGUGAGUAACCUGCCCUUAACUCUGGGAUAAGCCUGGGAAACUGGGUCUAAUACCGGAUAGGAGCGCCUACCGCAUGGUGGGUGUUGGAAAGAUUUAUCGGUUUUGGAUGGACUCGCGGCCUAUCAGCUUGUUGGUGAGGUAAUGGCUCACCAAGGCGACGACGGGUAGCCGGCCUGAGAGGGUGACCGGCCACACUGGGACUGAGACACGGCCCAGACUCCUACGGGAGGCAGCAGUGGGGAAUAUUGCACAAUGGGCGAAAGCCUGAUGCAGCGACGCCGCGUGAGGGAUGACGGCCUUCGGGUUGUAAACCUCUUUCAGUAGGGAAGAAGCGAAAGCGACGGUACCUGCAGAAGAAGCACCGGCUAACUACGUG
rnacentral:rRNA from 1 species